GAGGUUGUAACUAGUGGUAGAGCAUGUGCUUAGUAUGUACAAAGUCUGGGUUCAAACCCAGCACCCCCC
rnacentral:tRNA from 1 species